UGGGUGACCUGCCCUCAGCUCUGGGAUAAGCCUGGGAAACUGGGUCUAAUACUGGAUAUUCACUUCUCAUCGCAUGGUGGGUGGUGGAAGGUUUUUUCGGCUGGGGAUGGGCCCGCGGCCUAUCAGCUUGUUGGUGGGGUGAUGGCCUACCAAGGCGACGACGGGUAGCCGGCCUGAGAGGGCGUCCGGCCACACUGGGACUGAGACACGGCCCAGACUCCUACGGGAG
rnacentral:rRNA from 1 species